rnacentral:rRNA from 1 species
UACGGGGGGGGGCAAGCGUUGUUCGGACUUACUGGGCGUAAAGGGCUCGUAGGUGGCCAACUAAGUCAGACGUGAAAUCCCUCGGCUUAACCGGGGAACUGCGUCUGAUACUGGAUGGCUUGAGUUUGGGAGAGGGAUGCGGAAUUCCAGGUGUAGCGGUGAAAUGCGUAGAUAUCUGGAGGAACACCGGUGGCGAAGGCGGCAUCCUGGACCAACACUGACACUGAGGAGCGAAAGCCAGGGGAGCAAACGGG